rnacentral:miRNA from 1 species
GUGUCAUGUGUGUGUCUGUAGACACACACACACACACACACACACACACACACACACACACACACACGUAU